CAGCUUCCGAGGAGAGACGGAGACUGUCCCGCCCCCCGCCUCCUCCGCCGUCGCCACUGAGAAAUAGUCCCGCCACAUCAGCGUCCCGCUGCCGCCACGACCGCUGUUCCUCCCUUCCGCUGCCCCGCCCGCUCCUCGGCGCUCUCCUGCACCCCGGGGAAACGCUCUGAUCGUAGAGAGGUUGGGAGAUCCGUCCCGGGGAGCAAACGAUGCUGCUCCUGGUUGCUGGGACCACCAUGUAGAGACUGGAAAUGUGAGAACUGCUAGAGCAUGCAGCAUCUUCUCAGGCAAACAUGUUUACAACUUAGACACUGGAGUCCUCUGGCUCAAACUGGACAGAACCAGUUUUUCCCGCCAAAAAGACUAUAUAAGAGCCUGCUCAGUGCCUGCGUGGAGCUGUCCAUUCUAGCGGCAGCGCGUGCACGGUCGGGUCUUCCUAAACACUCCAAAGCUAGAGAGAAGAGUACCAUCUAUCCCGCAGCGAGGUUGAGGAAGGAGAGACCUGUCAUCACUAUCCUCGUCACAGCAAACUGAAUCCAUUUUACCUGUGGAGGGUCCUGCUUUCCUGGUAUCCAUCUUCCCAGACGGUCUCCCCGCCUGCAACGAAGUCCAACAGUCGUCGGAACUCCCCAGUAGUCCUCCCCGAAGGCUCUAAAUCAGCCAGAGAGUAGAAAGUCCUGGGCUUCGCACCUGCACGCUGUGUCCACUGCACCUAAAUCAUAGGAAAGGUUUCUGUAUUGGGGUUUCUUUUAUUGUUUUCUAAACGCCAAGGGAGGUUUUGU
rnacentral:lncRNA from 1 species